rnacentral:rRNA from 1 species
AUUGAACGCUGGCGGCAGGCCUAACACAUGCAAGUCGAGCGGAUGAGAGGAGCUUGCUUCUCGAUUCAGCGGCGGACGGGUGAGUAAUGCCUAGGAAUCUGCCUGGUAGUGGGGGACAACGUUUCGAAAGGAACGCUAAUACCGCAUACGUCCGACGGGAGAAAGCAGGGGACCUUCGGGCCUUGCGCUAUCAGAUGAGCCUAGGUAGGAUUAGCUAGUUGGUGAGGUAAUGGCUCACCAAGGCGACGAUCCGUAACUGGUCUGAGAGGACGAUCAGUCACACUGGAACUGAGACACGGUCCAGACUCCUACGGGAGGCAGCAGUGGGGAAUAUUGGACAAUGGGCGAAAGCCUGAUCCAGCCAGCCGCGUGUGUGAAGAAGGUCUUCGGAUUGUAAAGCACUUUAAGUUGGGAGGAAGGGUUGUAGAUUAAUACUCUGCAAUUUUGACGUUACCGACAGAAUAAGCACCGGUUAACUCUGUGCCAGCAGCCGCGGUAAAAC